rnacentral:rRNA from 1 species
GGAGUUUGAUCCUGGCUCAGAGUGAACGCUGGCGGCGUGGAUUAGGCAUGCAAGUCGAGCGAUCCUUGCUGGAAAUUUAUUGAAAUGCUUGCAUGGAUGUAAAUGGAAGGCUCUGGAUAGCGGCAAACGGGUGAGGAACACGUGAACAAUCUUCCCUCGAAUUGAACAUAGCUUCGUGAAAACGGAGGUAAUAUUCGAUAAGAUCAUAGUGGCAUAAGCCACAGUGCUUAAAGGCGGGGACCGCAAGGCCCGCCGUUUGAGGAUGAGUUCGCGUCCUAUCAGCUUGUUGGCGGGGUAACGGCCCACCAAGGCUAAGACGGGUAGCUGGUCUAAGAGGAUGGUCAGCCACACUGGGACUGAGACACUGCCCAGACUCCUACGGGAGGCUGCAGUCGAGAAUAUUUAGCAAUGGACGCAAGUCUGACUAUGCGACGCCGCGUGAGGGGUGAAGGUUUUCGGAUCGUAAACCUCUUUUUUUCAGGAGAGAAAAUCUUUGGUCUAAUACAUCAAAGACUGACGGUACCUGAAGAAUAAGCCACGGCCAACUCCGUGCCAGCAGCCGCGGUAAUACGGAGGUGGCAAGCGUUACUCGGAUUCAUUGGGUGUAAAGGGCAAGUAGGCGGUCAAGUAAGUGAGGGGUGAAAUCUUCCGGCUCAAUCGGAAAACUGCCUUUCAAACUGCUAGACUUGAGGUAGGAAGAGGGAAAUGGAAUUCUCGGUGUAAGGGUGAAAUCUGUAGAUAUCGAGAAGAACACCAGCGGCGAAGGCGAUUUCCUGGUCCUAUCCUGACGCUGAAUUGCGAAAGCUAGGGGAGCAAACAGAAUUAGAUACUCUGGUAGUCCUAGCUGUAAACGAUGAGCACUAGGUGUUGGGUCUUCGGACUCAGUGCCGCAGCUAACGCAUUAAGUGCUCCACCUGGGGACUACGGCCGCAAGGCUAAAACUCAAAGGAAUUGACGGGGGCCCGCACAAGCGGUGGAACAUGUGGUUCAAUUCGAUGCUACGCGAGGAACCUCACCAGGGUUUGACAUGCAGGAAGUAGUGAACUGAAAGGGAAUCCACCUGUCAAGUCAGGAGCCUGCACAGGUGCUGCAUGGCUGUCGUCAGCUCGUGUCGUGAGAUGUUGGGUUAAGUCCCGCAACGAGCGCAACCAUUGUCUUCUGUUGCUACCUUGCUAUACCUUCGGGUAUGGUAAGAGCACUCUGAAGAGACUGCCUGGGAUAACCAGGAGGAAGGCGGAGAUGACGUCAAGUCAGUACGGCCUUUAUGCCCUGGGCUACACACGUGUUACAAUGGCCGGUACAGUGAGUUGCCAACCCGCGAGGGGGAGCUAAUCUCUAAAAACCGGCCCCAGUUCGGAUUGGAGUCUGCAAUUCGACUCCAUGAAGUUGGAAUCGCUAGUAACGGCGGAUCAGCACGCUGCCGUGAAUACGUUCCCGGGCCUUGUACACACCGCCCGUCAAGCGAUGGGAGUCUGGGGUACCCGAAGUCCUACGUAGGUAGGCCGAAGGUAAAACUGGCGACUGGCGCUAAGUCGUAACAAGGUA